UACGAAGGGUGCAAGCGUUACUCGGAAUUACUGGGCGUAAAGCGUGCGUAGGUGGUUGUUUAAGUCUGUUGUGAAAGCCCUGGGCUCAACCUGGGAACUGCAGUGGAAACUGGACAACUAGAGUGUGGUAGAGGGUAGCGGAAUUCCCGGUGUAGCAGUGAAAUGCGUAGAGAUGUGGAGGAAUACCGAUGGCGAAGGCAGCCCCCUGGGCUAACACUGACGCUCAUGCACGAAAGCGUGGGGAGCAAACAGG
rnacentral:rRNA from 1 species